rnacentral:siRNA from 1 species
GAGUUAUAUUCUAUGCACAUCUCA